AGGCGCGAGCGGGGGUGGCGAGGAGGCCAGCGAAGGCGGUAAUGUAACCCUAAUGCACCAGAUAGCUGACAUCAACUUCCGUCAGGCAGCUCCUAGAGAUCGAACCUUUCGAUUGUAACUGGGACAAUUUGCAUAGUGAUUCCCUUUCCGAGCUUUCCCGGGUCCAUAACAAGCCCAGGCAGCUAUUCAAAUGCAAGUUGCAUCCCCAAAUGCGAGGCUGGCCUGACCAAAAAGAGCCACUCGGCGCCCAAGAGAGGCGAGACUCGCUCUCCGGUUCUCAUCCUUCUCUUUUCUCCUUUCUACUCCCUUUCUCUUCUCUGGUUCCUGAUUUAGCUGGGAGCUGUUUAUUUAUGGCUGCAAAUGUGUGUGUGCGAGAGCAAGCAAGAGAGAGAGAGGGAAUUGAUCUUUGCCUGGACUUAAAGAUGGAGACGAAGGAGCUGGAGGGAAUUUGGGUCUGUGCUUCUAGCUCAGACCCUGGGCACCAAGGGGAGUCGCUGGGCUCGGAGCCGGAGGUCUUCUCCUGCCCCUUACCCCGCGACCUUGCAGGAAUCUGCUGGCCCAGAAGCCGCCCCGCUGACACACCUGCCCCGGACAGGGCUGCAAGGAAAGUCUUCGGGCAGGAGGCCACCCUGUCCCUGUCUUUAAAAUGAGCGCAAUAAAAGGGGGCAAAUCCUCCAACACGAACCUGAUCUCAUGUCACAGAAGCAACUUGCCAUGAAAUCCGCUAAUGCACUGCGACUCGCCCACCAGGAUAAAUAGCUCCCAGCGUCACUGUAACCAGCGUUCUCCCAAUGCGGUCGUUUUCCUCGAAUGCGCGCACCGCCCGCCACACUCGAAGAAUUCAGCUCACAGAGGUUUCGGAUACCCCAUUUUAGUGAUUCCAGCCUAGACAUUGAAACCCCUCGAGCCUCCCGGGAAAGGGAACCACCAGGCCCGGGCCAAGCAGGCAGUCCGAGGCACUCUCGCGCGCGAACACAACACACACACACACACACACGCACAGGCACACACACGCACAGGCACACACACAUAGAGGGAUGGAGCAG